rnacentral:rRNA from 1 species
GGGAUCGAAGAUGAUUAGAUACCAUCGUAGUCCAUACCGUCAACGAUGCCGACUCGCGAUCGUUUCCCGGCUCUUGAAGCGGGAGGCGGCAGCGCAUGAGAAAUCAAAGUCUUUGGGUUCCGGGGGGAGUAUGGUCGCAAGGCUGAAACUUAAAGGAAUUGACGGAAGGGCACCACCAGGAGUGGAGCCUGCGGCUUAAUUUGACUCAACACGGGGAAACUUACCAGGUCCAGACAUAGGAAGGAUUGACAGAUUGAGAGCUCUUUCUUGAUUCUAUGGGUGGUGGUGCAUGGCCGUUCUUAGUUGGUGGAGUGAUUUGUCUGGUUGAUUCCGUUAACGAACGAGACCACAGCCUACUAAAUAGUACUGUUUAUGGUAACAGAGGUAGAGACUUCUUAGAAGGACAUUGCGGGUAUACCGGAAGGAAGUUUGUU